CAGAGUUGCAAGACUCCCAAACCACUGUGAACCUACCCCCAACCGUUGCUUCGGCGGGCCGUCUCCCCCCCGGCAGACCAGCUGGGGGGGCAGCCGCGCAGGCCUCCCUCCCCUUGGGGGGGUGGGCGCCCGCCGGAGGUGCCCAAACCACUGUUCUUUGCAUGGCCUCUCUGAGUAACUGUACCGAAUAAAGUCA
rnacentral:misc_RNA from 1 species